UACGGGGGGAGCAAACGUUGUUCGGAAUCACUGGGCGUAAAGGGCGUGUAGGCGGCUGAAUAAGUGGGAUGUUAAAUCCCCCGGCUCAACCGGGGACCUGCAUCUCAUACUGUUCAGCUCGAGCACAUCAGAGGAGACUGGAAUUCCCGGUGUAGCGGUGAAAUGCGUAGAUAUCUGGAGGAACACCGGUGGCGAAGGCGGCAUCCUGGACCAACACUGACACUGAGGAGCGAAAGCCAGGGGAGCAAACGGG
rnacentral:rRNA from 1 species